UAACUUACCUGGACGGGGUUGAUGACUGAUUAUGAAGAGUCGUGGUCUAGGCUAGUGGUCCACAGUGCAUCUGAUGGAUGCGCUGGCUUACCAUCUCCUCAAGUGGGAGAGUGGACGUCAUAAUUUAUGAUAGAGGGGGGACGCGUUCGCGCGGCCCCUAU
rfam:Triticum urartu cultivar G1812 contig1139752, whole genome shotgun sequence.